rfam:Gossypium hirsutum cultivar TM-1 chromosome 7, whole genome shotgun sequence
GUAAUGUUUCUUGCUCAAAUGAGUAUUCCAAUCACAGUUACAUUAAUUUGCUUGUAUGGAUGUGUUACUGAGAUGCUCAUUUGAGCAAGCAAUGUUAA